rnacentral:lncRNA from 1 species
GCUAAAAUGUCACCAGUUCUGAAACUGACCAUGAUCUUGCUGCCGUAUAAAGCAUGCCGCACGAGACCUCUUAACCAAGCUAACCACUACAAGAGGUCGUAGCAAGUGUUUCAGAUGUCAAAGACAACAUAUGUUGUCUCACCGCGAUGUUUGUCUCACGACCUCGCGAGGUAAAAUUCGCAACAAAAGCCAAACGCACACGCGAAAUGUGGCUGAGCAAACGGCCUCGCAAGGUCGUUAC